GGUGACUCAGUGGUAGAGUGCUUGCCUUGCAUGCAGGAAGACCUGGGUUCAAUUCCUCAGCACCA
rfam:Dipodomys ordii contig_3899, whole genome shotgun sequence.